GAUGCAUGGUACCUAAGUAAAUCGAAAUUACUCUGCACUUCCAAUCCCACAGAUGAAGUUCCCAGGUGAAGACAUGUGGUUGUGCCCUGUGAACUUUGGUACGCACUGGAUUCUUGUGGAAUUUUCUGAGGAUGAGAGGGCAUGAAGACACCAUGGCGUGGCAGUUACAGACUAUGCAACACAACAAACAACAGGAUUCCAGCAGUUGCGGAGUUUUGCUGUUAAAGUUUGCAGAACACUACCUUGCUUUUGGAGAGGUCAGUGAAGUAUUAACCACUACAGAAGCAGUUGUGCUGGAGCG